rnacentral:rRNA from 1 species
AUUGAACGCUGGCGGCAUGCCUUACACAUGCAAGUCGAACGGCAGCACGGGGGCAACCCUGGUGGCGAGUGGCGAACGGGUGAGUAAUGCAUCGGAACGUGCCCAGUAGUGGGGGAUAACCCGGCGAAAGCCGGGCUAAUACCGCAUACGACCUACGGGUGAAAGCGGGGGACCGUAAGGCCUCGCGCUAUUGGAGCGGCCGAUGUCUGAUUAGCUGGUUGGCGGGGUAAAGGCCCACCAAGGCGACGAUCAGUAGCUGGUCUGAGAGGACGACCAGCCACACUGGGACUGAGACACGGCCCAGACUCCUACGGGAGGCAGCAGUGGGGAAUUUUGGACAAUGGGCGCAAGCCUGAUCCAGUCAUGCCGCGUGCGGGAAGAAGGCCUUCGGGUUGUAAACCGCUUUUGGCAGGAACGAAACGGCGCAAGCUAAUACCUUGCGCUAAUGACGGUACCUGCAGAAUAAGCACCGGCUAACUACGUGCCAGCCGCCGCGGUAAGAC